CGUAGGUAAUCUACCUUCGGGUGGGGAAUAACGCAGGGAAACUUGCGCUAAUACCGCAUAAUGCAGCGGCACCACAUGGUGACAGUUGUUAAAGCGGGGGAUUUUCGGACCUCGCGCCUGAAGAGGAGCCUGCGGCAGAUUAGCUAGUUGGUAGGGUAACGGCUUACCAAGGCGACGAUCUGUAGCCGGCCUGAGAGGGCGGUCGGCCACACUGACACUGACAUACGGGUCAGACUCCUACGGGAGGCAGCAGUCGGGAAUUUUGGGCAAUGGGCGAAAGCCUGACCCAGCAACGCCGCGUGAAGGAUGAAAUCCCUCGGGAUGUAAACUUCGCAAGAAUAGGAAGAAUGAACGAGCGCUAACACCGUUCGUGAUGACGGUACUAUUUGUAAGCUCCGGCUAACUCCGUGCCAGCAGCCGCGGUAAUACGGGGGGAGCAAGCGUUGUUCGGAUUUACUGGGCGUAAAGGGCGCGUAGGCGGCCAGCGCAAGUCAGUUGUGAAAUCUCCGGGCUUAACUCGGAAAGGUCAACUGAUACUGCGCGGCUAGAGUGCGGAAGGGGCAACUGGAAUUCUCGGUGUAGCGGUGAAAUGCGUAGAUAUCGAGAGGAACACCUGCGGC
rnacentral:rRNA from 1 species